rnacentral:lncRNA from 1 species
AAAUAGCAUUCUCAGUUUUGUGGCAAGAUGGUUUUUCUUUUAACUAAUUAAAUAAUAGUAAACUUAAAUUCUGAUAUUUUUUAAUGAUAUACUUUAACAAUUAAGUUGGAUUUACUUAUAAUUUGAAUAUUUUAUGAUAUAUAUUAAAUUACAAAAUGUUUUGAAAUAUUUUUUACAAAGAAUUUUUUUUAAUUUUGAUAUUUUUUUUAGAUCUUAUAUUAUAAUAUUUUAAAAAUAAUCUUUGGAGAUUAUUGAAUUUAUCACAAUAUUUUUAUUUUCUAUACAUCUAAAUAUAUUAAAACUAUUUUGUCUUUGAUUUUUUUUAUAGUUUAAAAAAUAUAUAUACUUUUAGUUGGUAGAUUUAUUAUGUAUGUGCUACAAAUUAAAAAUACCAAGAAUAUUCUUGGAUUUUUAUUUAAUUGUAUAUUAAAAAGAUCAAAAUACAAAGUUUAUAAACUUAUCGAAAGUAAAAUAAUUUAGUUGAUAAUUGAGAAAAAAAUUUAAUUAUUUCCUAUCUUAGCUAUAGAGAAUAGAAUACAUAAUUAAUUUGUGUUUUAAAACUAAAAAAGUAGUAAUUUAAAAAUUUUAAAAUGGAUAUAUAGAUAUAUAUAUAUAUAUAUAUAUAUAUAUAUACAAGUAUAAAAACUCUUAGUUAGUAAAACUAUAUUAGAACUAAUCUUUCAUUCUCUUUAUCUUCCACCUAAAUUUUUAACAAUUGAAGGUAAAAUUUGCAAAGAAAUUAACCAAAAAAAAUAAUAAAAAAAAUAAAACAAAUAAAAAAUAACCCAUAAACAAUCACUUUACAUUGGUCAAAAUUUUAUACUACAUUAACAAGGUCUGCAAAAAAAACAAUUGAGACAUUUAAAACAAAUAAUUAUCUUAAUCCUUCAUAAAUCUAACUCUUUCUUUCUUGUAAACACAAAAUAUAACAUGAUUAGUGUGUGAUAAAGAGAGGCCAAUAUCACAAUAUCUAUCAUAACAUGCUCAACAAACAUGUGAUAGAAUCCUUCACCAUCUAACACACCAAAAUAACACAAAUUUACAAAACACAUCAAAAGAUAGUCAGCUAAAAUCCCAGCUAUGAAAUCACAAAUCCGAUGAAUUUUGCCGAGAAACAAACAGGAGCAAUGUAGAAGCAAAAUGGGACAUGUGAGCAACAAUUGAAUAGAGAGCUAUGGUGAGGGGCACUUUGCAAGUCCCUGGGUAACAAGAGCCUUGAUGCCAUGGAUCCAGAAGAAAAUGGUCUCUGCAACAACAACAGCAACCUCACACUCACGCACACUAUUGCAACACUUCCACUCAGCCUCACAAAACAAACAUACAUACAAUCACACAAACAUGCACACAAACUAACAGAUAAACAGAUGAACAAACAAACCCACACUACACCAGCAAUGAGGAACAGCAAGAGCGAUGGGCGUUGCUGGAGCUGGUCACCAGCAUAAGUCGAUAGGAGGGGGAGAGAGAGCUCAUAAUGUGUUGCAGUGUGUGUGUGUGUAUGUGUGUGUACCUAGAGAGUUUGUGGCUUCAUUGCAGGACUGGUUGAGAGAGAGCGGCACCGGG